GAUAACAAGGCUUGUCAUGAUCGUCUAGGUGUUGUUCAAGGAGUCGAUGAAGAGACUGCGUGCUGCUGGUUAGAGUGUGCUGUCUGCGCAUGUCAGGAUCUAUUGGAGAGAAGCGGAUUACCGUAUUUCUGUCCAGUUUGCCAAGACGACGUGACUAACCCAAUUACUAAGACUAAUCUUGACGUUAUCAUUAAGUGUGAUAUAUGGAGAGACGCGCGUGUCACUGUCAAGCUUCUGCAGGCCACUAUCGAAAAGCUACUCCCUGUUUCAUACCGAGACAGUGACCAGGGAUAUGACAUUGAACGUGUUCUUGGAAAACGUCUUGGGCCGUUGUACUGUUACAUCGAAGAACAUGGGGAACUUACAGCUAAACUUUCAGAAAUCGUUGUCUGACUGUGACGUCACCUUUUGGUGUAACUACGUGCAUGCGCAGUAAUUGCAACUGAAUCCUUGUAGUCUUUUUCUUUUCGAAAUUCCUGUCGAAAAUGUCUGGGAUGAUACUAGAGAAUUGACAUCUAUUUGAUUCAAAACUUUUGAUCGAGGUAUAAACCAAGUUCAAGGAGAUAAAAUUCCUAAGAAUUAUAAAAGUUAUAUCAUUAAUUCUACGAAUUAUUUAUGUAAUAUUUAUUUAUUUUGAUGAAAUACAUAUUAAAAUACUUGUUUGAUACUG